UACAAGGCGUUUCUCAACGCCAUCUUUUUUUUUUCGGAAAGAGUCA
rfam:Perkinsus marinus ATCC 50983 gcontig_1104296295882, whole genome shotgun sequence.